GGUCGUCGGCGUAGGCGGCCCAGAAGCGGGCGACGGCGCGGUCGUGGGGGUCGGCGGGGAGGAGGGCGGGGCCGGAGCCGGAGCCGGGGAAGGCCUCGUCGAGGUACUGCACGAUGAGCAUGGACUCGCAGACGGGCUUGCCGCCGUGGAGGAGCACGGGGACCUUGGCGUGCACGGGGUUGGAGGCGAGGAGGAGGUCGCUCUUGCUGGUGAGGUCCUCCUCGGCGUACUCGUAGCCGGUGAUCCCCUUGAGGUGCAGCGCGACCCGCGCCCGGUGCACGAACGGGCUCGCCCAGAACCCCAGCAGCUUGAGCUCGUCGUCACUCCCUCCUCCGGCCGCCAUGUCGGACGGACUGAUUUCUC
rnacentral:lncRNA from 1 species